AAACACUUGUACAGUGAAGCAUACAAUACUGUACAAUUACUGACAUAGGCAUGUGCUAUUCAGGUGUCAAAGGUGUGCGAAACUGGAGGGAGAAACUUGAGAGACCGUGCCGGAAGAAUGCUGGACAGAGUUCACUAAAAUUCAUUAAUUUCAAAGUUCAACAUGAAUGGUGGUGGUCCACUGCAGAAGCAAGCAUUUGAAAAAACAUCAGUUCUCAGUUAUUAAAGAUGCUGUGUUGAACAACUUCCCAGCAGCAACAGAACUGGAAGUGAAGGAUGCAAUGGGGGCAUUUCAAACAGGCACCAGGGAGCACGGGGGGGGG